UGGAGAGGUGACCGAGUGGCUUAAGGUGCACGCCUGGAGAGCGUGUGCGGGUCAAAAGCCUGCCGUGGGUUCAAAUCCCACCCUCUCCGCCAU
rnacentral:tRNA from 1 species